UUAUUAAUGUUAGGGAGCAUAUUUUGGAAUUUUCAAAGAAAACAUUUAUCUAAGUGUGACAAGAUUCAGGAAAUGUUUGGUUGUUGUAAUUGAACCUAAAGAUCAAUGACCUGGGACAGGAAGAUAAACAAAAGAAACAAGAUAGUUAAAAUGUUCAGAGUCAGCUUGUAAGCAAGUUUGCAGGACUGUUCCAAACUAUCCAGCUUUGCUGUGUUUUAUCAUAGUAUAAAGCAGAGGAAUAUACUGGAAUGUCAUUGGCAUUGGCACCUUCAAAGUCAAGUGAUUAAGGAAGCCAACUGUAGACCAGGAAAGGCUUCAAGGAAUAUACUACAGAAUUGUAUCCUGGAGCAUUUUCCACAUGUGACCCCUGUGAUGGUGAGGGAAAAACUAAGGGACACUUUAAAAUCAUGGAGAGUGAACAGGAAUUCAAAAGAUAGAUAUUUGAAUACAUUAAAAUAUAGCCGGAUAUCAAAAAAUUAUAACUGAACAUUGAUUGUAAUAUUUACCAUUAAAGACUAUAACUAACUUAACUUUUCAUUUGUAGUGCAUUACUAUUUACUUCACACUGACAUUAAAUGUUUCAGUGAGUC